rnacentral:lncRNA from 1 species
AAAUUAAUAAACACAAUCACACAAUAUUACAAAUACAUACCAGACACAAUCUUAGAAAACUUGACACAUAAGAUGUAGCACACAAGAUAAUCUUCGUUACAACAAAGGUUAAAAGAACAUCCAAGAGAUGUAGCAACAGGAGCUACCAACAUGGCCUUAGCAGAAGCAGUGUAUGCCUCACAAGUAGAGAUAGGUUGGGAAGAGGCGAAGAUUAUACGACCGAUAGCAAAAGCAUCGCAUGCAUUAAUAGCGGAGAGUUUGGAAAUUUUGAAAGCCAAAGGAGAAAGUACAGUGUUAAAUGAAAAAACAUCGCUAGAAAUCUCGGAUGCCUGGAAAUAUAUGGUACAGAAACGUAUACACAAGACUACUGGACAACAAUUUCGUGAUUCGGGUUGAAAAUACAAUAAACUAAAGACAGCCGCAUAUAUGCAAGAGGGUUAAACAGGCUUAUGACCUUAUAUUAUUAUAGUAUGUUAUUGUUUUU